CCGCUGGUCGGUGUUGACGCAAUGUGAUUUCUGCCCAGUGCUCUGAAUGUCAACGUGAAGAGAUUCAUCAAAGCGCGGGUAAACGGCGGGAGUAACUAUGACUCUCUUGUUUGGAUUUGGAGGAUUUGGAGGUUUUGGAGUAACCUAAAAAGGAGUUUGUUGGGAUAACGGAGCGUGGAGAACGAUGGAAUUGAUUAAAUCACCUAGUGUGAGAUGCGGAGAGGACGGUCUUUCUGAAGACCGCCGCAUGCGGCAGCAAAAGGAGGAAGGCAUGACGCCUGGCCGCUCGCUCAUGGCCAAUACCAGUGGUCAGAGCUUAGAAGGGCAUACCCCUAUGUGGUUAUAAAUACCACUUUAGGGGACUCGCACCGGUGAGUGCGUGUAAAGAGCGUGUGGCGGAAACGCCCACAAUGUCGGUCUAGGGAAAGCAUGUUGGGAUAGCAUGCCGGGACCGGGGUGGAGGUGGGUUGAAAAAAAAAUAGCCAAAUGCCUCGUCAUCUAAUUAGUGACGCGCAUGAAUGGAUUAACGAGAUUCCCACUGUC
rnacentral:ncRNA from 1 species